rnacentral:rRNA from 1 species
CGAUGGGCCGACGUCGCAUGCUCCGGCCGCCAUGGCGGCCGCGGGAAUCGAUUAGAGUUUAAUCCUGGCUCAGAGUGAACGCUGGCGGCAGGCCUAACACAUGCAAGUCGAACGGCAGCACAGCAGUAGCAAUACUGUGGGUGGCGAGUGGCGGACGGGUGAGGAAUACAUCGGGAUCUACCUUUUCGUGGGGGAUAACGUAGGGAAACUUACGCUAAUACCGCAUACGCCCUACGGGGGAAAGCGGCGGACCGCAAGGCGUCGCGCGAUGAGAUGAACCGAUGUCCGAUUAGCUAGUUGGCGGGGUAAAGGCCCACCAAGGCGACGAUCGGUAGCUGAUCUGAGAGGAUGAUCAGCCACACUGGAACUGAGACACGGUCCAGACUCCUACGGGAGGCAGCAGUGGGGAAUAUUGGACAAUGGGCGCAAGCCUGAUCCAGCCAUGCCGCGUGGGUGAAGAAGGCCUUCGGGUUGUAAAGCCCUUUUGUCCGGAAAGAAAAGCACGUAAUUAAUACCUAUGUGUGAUGACGGUACCGGAAGAAUAAGCACCGGCUAACUUCGUGCCAGCAGCCGCGGUAAUACGAAGGGUGCAAGCGUUACUCGGAAUUACUGGGCGUAAAGCGUGCGUAGGUGGUUUGUUAAGUCUGUCGUGAAAUCCCCGGGCUCAACCUGGGAAUGGCGAUUGAUACUGGCAAGCUAGAGUGAGGUAGAGGAGAGUGGAAUUCCCGGUGUAGCAGUGAAAUGCGUAGAGAUCGGGAGGAACAUCAGUUGCAAAAGCGGC